UACGUAGGUGGCGAGCGUUGUCCGGAUUUACUGGGCGUAAAGGGAGCGUAGGCGGACUUUUAAGUGAGAUGUGAAAUACCCGGGCUCAACUUGGGUGCUGCAUUUCAAACUGGAAGUCUAGAGUGCAGGAGAGGAGAAUGGAAUUCCUAGUGUAGCGGUGAAAUGCGUAGAGAUUAGGAAGAACACCAGUGGCGAAGGCGAUUCUCUGGACUGUAACUGACGCUGAGGCUCGAAAGCGUGGGGAGGCAAACAGGAUUAGAUACA
rnacentral:rRNA from 1 species